CUAGGACUACCCUGGCCAAAGUUUUUCUAAAUUGAAAUAUGACUAUACACAGCUCCUGAACUAGAGUGGUCAAUCCCUUCUUGACACAUGCAUCGACAAGUCAAGUACUUGACUACACCCAGCAUCCUUCCGUCAUUGAAUUAGAAAUUCAAGUAGUCCAGUGCCUAAGUGUAGUGAGUUACUUGCAAGUCACCGUGGCGGUCUCAGGUCGGAGGGACAUUUAUACCCAU
rnacentral:lncRNA from 1 species